AACUGGCACGAUGGAAACGGAUAGAGCUAGCGAACUCGUUCGUAUUCAGCCAACGGUUCUGGGUUCGGUCUUGUUGUGUUUCAGUUUUGUGCACGCAGGAUCGAGCGCCUGGGUUCCAAGGUGCAUUUGCGGACGAUUGCGCUGAGACUUGUGGGGCAGCGGUAGGACCCGGUUCAUGAGGCCUCCUUUUGGUUGUACCCUGAACUGGUAUACGACUGUUUGCUCUGCUCGUAAUGUUGGUUCGGCCUCGGGUGAAACUGCCGUUGGCGUUCUCUUGUGGUGGCAACAGCACGCUUUGCCUAACUUGGGGAUUCCGGCUGCGGUGGAGCUCUCGAACUGUCUCUCGGUGUAAAAGCUGGUCAUCUAUCCGACCCGUCUUGAAACACGGACCAAGGAGUUUAGCGUAUGUGCGAGCCACUGGGUAUUGCAAAACCUAUGGGCACAAUGAAAGUGAAGGCUCGGUCGCCGAGCUUACAUGCGACCGUGCUAGCUUCGGCUGGUGCGGGCAGCAUGGUCCCGUUUCAGUCGCUUGCGACGGAGCGGAGACAGAGUGCAUGCGCUGAGACCCGAAAGAUGGUGAACUAUUCCUGAGCAGGACGAAGCCAGAGG
rnacentral:rRNA from 1 species